AGAGCAGUGUGGUGCCGGGGACAGUGUGGGUGUGGGGGCAGUGUGGGUGCUGGGGACAUGUGGUGCCGGGGGCAGUGUGGUGCCGGGGGCAUGUGGUGCCAGGGGCACUUCCCUGCUGUUUUCCAGGCCCCCUGAUGUCCUGCUCCACCUUCCCUCAGCUGAGCCACCGGGCCGUGGGGGUCUGGGACCCUGGCUGGGGCGGGUAGGGGAACCUUGGACCCGGGCGGGGGAGCCCUGUGGGGAGACUGUGGAGGCCUGGGACCCAGGUGGGGGUGGGAGGCCUGUGGGGUUCUGGGCACCUGGGUGGGGGUCAGCCUUAAUACCUGGGGGCCGUGGGGGCUACCCGGGCGGGAGGAGGGGCAGUUUGCAGGAGAGGCCGCCCCUGAGGCCCCUUGGAGGUCUCCGGGUCAGUGCCACUUCCUUUGGGGGAUCUGGGCCUGGGUGUGCCGCCCACUCCCUGCCUGUGCUCACCUGGCGUGAUGGCAGCUGAGGGACGGACUCAGGCCGGGGGGCGGGAGAGGCAGCGGGACACCCGGCCACGCUGCAUCUCUGCCCUGAGACCCCCAGGAGACAGGGCGUGGGGGUCUCCACAGGAUCUUGCACACUCCACGCCUCACGCCGUCUGCCCAGCAAGUAGCCCCUGGGGGUCACUGCCCUUGUGAGGGGCAGCCCUGUGGUUUGCGCUGUGCUGCCAGUGUCCUUGAUGGAGUGCGGGGGAGCCCGGGUCCGCCUUCUGGGACCCUCCGCGGGCAUCCCCCCAGCUCCCUACCAGGAGCUGAUGGGCCCCCUCCCUAACCCCGGGCACACAGGAGGGGCAGGUUGGCCCUCUCUCUGACUCGGGGUGGGGCUCUUCUCUCUGAGGACCCCCCCAGGCAGCACCCCACCAGGGUCUGGCCGGAGUUGUGUCCACCUGUGCAGAGACCCCCCCGCCCUGCCUUGGGGCGGCGUCCUGCAGAGGGACCCCCCUGAGUCACAGAGCUGGUCUGGGCCUAGGAUCCUGUCACCCGCCUGCCCGCCCCUCGCCUGGGGCCGAGUGUCCACUGCCGGAAGCUCCUGUCCUGGCCUCUCAUCUCUGCCAGUCCGGGUCCACUUUUCCAGACAGAGACAAGGAGAAAGGCACCGUGGCAACACUCACCUUCAAUGUGUGGGGGCCGGGUUCGAACCUGGGCUGUGACCACGAGGAAGUAAACACCAGCCCCUCCUUCCUUCCCGUGUGACGUUCGGGAAGGAGCUAAGACCUGGCCCAGGCCAAACACCGCGAAGCAGGCCUCCCUGGCCUGGCGUUCCUUCUAGUUUGUUUUCUGUUUGUUUUUCUUUCUGAGUCACAUGUGUGAUUCCACCUUUUCUGGGUCAACUUUCUCUCUCUCUUUGUGUCAGAGGACAGAGAGCUAGAGAGAAACACCACAAUACAGUUCUAGAUCUCCCCCUGCUGCUGUGGGGCUCCCAUGUGGUGCUGGGGCUCAAAGCUUGGGCUCCCACGUGCUACUUCCUGACCUGAAAUGAAGGAGUUGCUCUGUUGUUCUGUUUUUGUGAGUGUUGCUCAGCUCUGACUGUCAUGGAUCCGGGGACUUUUUCUCAAGUCCUGGUGCUGCUGCCUCUGAGUUACUGCCUCCAGCACAGUUUUUCCUCACCUCCCCCCGGGAGCGAGCCAGUGCGCUCAGACAAACACUCACACGCACACGCACACGCACACACACACACACCAGUGCGCUCAGACACACACUCACACACACGCACAUGCACACACAUAUACACAUGAGCCAGUGCGCUCAGACACACACACAUAUGCAUGCCAGUGUGCUCAGACACUCACACACACAUACACAUAAGCCAGUGCGCUUAGACACACACACACGCCAGUGCGCUCAGACACAUGCAUGCCAGUGUGCUCACACACACUCACAUGCAUGCCAGUGCGCUCAGACACACACACACACACACACAUACACAUGAGCCAGUGCGCUCAGACACACAUGCAUGCCAGUGUGCUCAGACACACACACUCACGCACACACACACAUACACAUGAGCCAGUGCGCUUAGACACACACACACAUGCAUGCCAGUGUGCUCAGACACACACAUGCACACAC